GACAGAGGCCUCAAGCGUUAGGCGGAAUCACUGGGCUUAAAGCGGGUGUAGGCGGAUCGUUAAGUGUCUUGUGAAAUCCCACGGCUCACCCGUGGAACUGCUGGGCAUACUGGGCGUCUUGGGCCAACUAGGGGCAGCCGGAACAAGCGGUGGAGCGGUGAAAUGCGUAGAUAUCGCUUGGAACGCCGAAGGUGAAAACAGGUUGCUGGGGUUGUGCCGACGCUGAGACACGAAAGCCAGGGGAGCAAACGGG
rnacentral:rRNA from 1 species